GGAAGUGCUUCCUCUAGAAGCAGUGAGUGUAACUUCUCCCAAAGGACCUGUUAUUUUUUAUUGUUACAAUUACUUAUUUACUUAUCUCAAAAUUGUUAAAAAAAGCUGAGAGAAAACAAGUGUUUAUGUGAGGGUGUGCUGCUGCCGAUGAAGGAAGUGCUUCCUCUAGAAGCAGUGAGUCUAACUUCUCCCAAAGGACCUGUUAUUUUUUAUUGUUACAAUUACUUAUUUGCUUAUCUCAAAAUUGUUACAAAAGUAUCGUAUAUGCAGCUGUGGCUGUUUCCUUGUACUCCCUAUUACAGACAAAGAAACGGAAAACCGACAACCGUCACUGGCAACUUCCCAUAUGGUCCAAGUCGGCGCAUCUAUCAUAACACUACAGCUUGUGGAUAGAUCUCCACACAGGACUGCCUGAGCACGGCUUCAAAAUCCAACUGCGGAGUCGGUACAUCUGUUUGAACAUCUGAGCACAAGAAUACAUCUCUCCACCGGAUUGCCAAGACACUACCUCUACACGCUAUUUGAUCCAAAGGCGGGACAUACGGCACUCAACCUCAAAUUGGCGCACCUUCCUUUUGAUUGUUUGAACUAUACACGUGGACCUGUGGACCUACAUUUUUGGUGCAGCUGUAUAACUACCAUAACCAAGCGCGGCUCUUCACCUAUUUAACCAUGGAGUGAAAAGGGUUUUACGUUUCCAGAGUGAAGAAAAAAUGAAACCAGCUCUUUCUUGCACACUGAAGUAUAUAUAAUACACAUAAUGCUAUAAUUGUAUACAUUAUGAGAAGUCCACUGUUUGCGUUGAUAACUGGUGUUGGUUUUCCACAAGCAAAUUUAUAUAAAAUCUUUAGCUUUGUCUGUAGACUUUACAGAACUGCACUAGAUUAGACAAUUAUGCAAUCUUUUUUUUCUGUUUAAAUAUAUUUUAUUUGAUUUAACAUCAACAAGAAAAAUUAUUAUGACAACAUAUAUUAAGCAGACUUAGAGAAUGUGCUGCAAUAAAUACAGUGGCAUGACAUUUUCAAACAUUAAUAACAUUAAUUGUUAAAUACAGAAAAAUGUAACUAA